UACGUAGGGUGCGAGCGUUAAUCGGAAUUACUGGGCGUAAAGUGUGCGCAGGUGGCUUCGCAAGUCGAGUGUGAAAUCCCCGGGCUUAACCUGGGAACGGCGUUUGAAACUGUGCGUCUAGAGUGCGUCAGAGGGGGGUGGAAUUCCGCGUGUAGCAGUGAAAUGCGUAGAGAUGCGGAGGAACACCGAUGGCGAAGGCAGCCCCCUGGGAUGACACUGACGCUCAUGCACGAAAGCGUGGGGAGCAAACAGG
rnacentral:rRNA from 1 species